rnacentral:rRNA from 1 species
UUUAUGGAGAGUUUGAUCCUGGCUCAGGAUGAACGCUGGCGGCGUGCCUAAUACAUGCAAGUCGAGCGAACGGACGAGAAGCUUGCUUCUCUGAUGUUAGCGGCGGACGGGUGAGUAACACGUGGAUAACCUACCUAUAAGACUGGGAUAACUUCGGGAAACCGGAGCUAAUACCGGAUAAUAUUUUGAACCGCAUGGUUCAAAAGUGAAAGACGGUCUUGCUGUCACUUAUAGAUGGAUCCGCGCUGCAUUAGCUAGUUGGUAAGGUAACGGCUU